rnacentral:rRNA from 1 species
CCUACGGGAGGCAGCAGUGAGGAAUAUUGGUCAAUGGGCGGAAGCCUGAACCAGCCAAGUCGCGUGAGGGACUAAGGCCCUACGGGUCGUAAACCUCUUUUGCCGGGGAUCAGUGCCCAGCUCGCGAGCUGGGAGGGAGCGUACCCGGAGAAAAAGCAUCGGCUAACUCCGUGCCAGCAGCCGCGGUAAUACGGAGGAUGCGAGCGUUAUCCGGAUUUAUUGGGUUUAAAGGGUGUGUAGGCGGGCCUUCAGGCCGGCGGGAAAAUUGCGGGGCUCAACCCUGCCGAGCCGUCGGAAACGGGGGCCGUGAGUGCCGGAGAGGUACGCGGAAUGCGUGGUGUAGCGGUGAAAUGCAUAGAUAUCACGCAGAACCCCGAUUGCGAAGGCAGCGUACCGGCCGGUCACUGACGCUGAGGCACGAAAGCGCGGGUAUCGAACAGGAUUAGAUACCCUUGUAGUC